AUUGAACGCUGGCGGCAUGCCUUACACAUGCAAGUCGAACGGUAACGGGCCUUCGGGUGCCGACGAGUGGCGAACGGGUGAGUAAUACAUCGGAACGUGCCCGAUCGUGGGGGAUAACGAGGCGAAAGCUUUGCUAAUACCGCAUACGAUCUACGGAUGAAAGCAGGGGACCGCAAGGCCUUGCGCGGACGGAGCGGCCGAUGGCCGAUUAGGUAGUUGGUGGGAUAAAAGCUUACCAAGCCGACGAUCUGUAGCUGGUCUGAGAGGAUGAUCAGCCACACUGGGACUGAGACACGGCCCAGACUCCUACGGGAGGCAGCAGUGGGGAAUGUUGGACAAUGGGCGCAAGCCUGAUCCAGCCAUGCCGCGUGCAGGAUGAAGGCCUUCGGGUUGUAAACUGCUUUUGUACGGAACGAAAAGCCUUCUUUUAAUACAGGAGGGUCAUGACGGUACCGUAAGAAUAAGCACCGGCUAACUACGUG
rnacentral:rRNA from 1 species